GAUUGAACGCUGGCGGCAGGCCUAACACAUGCAAGUCGAGCGGAUGAAGGGAGCUUGCUCCUGGAUUCAGCGGCGGACGGGUGAGUAAUGCCUAGGAAUCUGCCUGGUAGUGGGGGAUAACGUCCGGAAACGGGCGCUAAUACCGCAUACGUCCUGAGGGAGAAAGUGGGGGAUCUUCGGACCUCACGCUAUCAGAUGAGCCUAGGUCGGAUUAGCUAGUUGGUGGGGUAAAGGCCUACCAAGGCGACGAUCCGUAACUGGUCUGAGAGGAUGAUCAGUCACACUGGAACUGAGACACGGUCCAGACUCCUACGGGAGGCAGCAGUGGGGAAUAUUGGACAAUGGGCGAAAGCCUGAUCCAGCCAUGCCGCGUGUGUGAAGAAGGUCUUCGGAUUGUAAAGCACUUUAAGAUGGGAGGAAGGGCAGUAAGUUAAUACCUUGCUGUUUUGACGUUACCAACAGAAUAAGCACCGGCUAACUUCGUG
rnacentral:rRNA from 1 species